UUUCAAGCAAAAUCAUAAACUUCUUCCCUUCCUCUUUUCCUUGUUCCCAUAUGGUGUUUUCCUCUCCUAAGCUGCAUUUUCUCCCAUAACUUUAUUUCUGAAUGAAAGUUAAUAGGAUUGCUGACUCUGAUUCAAAGCUGCACAAGCUUCUUCGGGGCCUUUUUCGCAGUCCUUAUUUACGUCACAUCUAAAUACACUGAAAACCCUUUGAAGGCUUAACCUCCCAAUUAUUUUUCCUGCAGUUCACUGCUUAUCAGUAACUUUCUUCUUUCCAGCACUAAAGAUAAGGUUUGGAAGCCUGAAGUGCCAGGCAAACUCACAGAGGGCUUCUCAGAGAGCUUCAGUCUGCCUUCUUCAGUCUAAGAUAUAAAACAAGGGUUUGUUGUAGGAUUGCUGAAUAGAAACGUUAUGACUGUGCAGAAACAAACACAAAAUGACUUUUGCUCCAUAAGCUUUAGCACCAGACAAGGGAGUGUUCCUGGUGCUGCAAGGGACCCCUGUAAGGGGUCUGCCAGCACUGCUGCCAACAGCCAUGAGCCAGCUCACCUAGAGGGAAUUAAAAACCAAGUGGAAUGGAUGUAGAAGCGUCAGCUCAAGUCAGGCUUGAGGCUUUAUAUUCAUAUACCACAGAGAGUCUGAGCACUGUGUAGGAAAAAGGGGUCUAUUAAAAGAAAGCAGAAAGCAUCUGGACCUAAGUUAAUAAGCCACAAAACAAAGUAGUGCCUGGUGAAAAUGAAAUCUCAUGUUAAAGCAGAACAACACAGGAGGGAAUUGUGUUCUUUACCUGUAGGAUAAAUGAAAACUUACUCUGUGUGGCAGAACUGCGAAAAUUUAAAUUCAGGCACGUAAAUUUCAUAAAACCUUUGAGGAGGAUCUACCUGGUUACUUAUGUUUCAAUUAUUGCUGUGUGGCCUGAAGAAAAACGUCAAAGGAAAGGUCGAAAGAAAUACUCUGUUUGGUUUCGAAAGAGGAUCCGAUUGCCUUCUGGACAAAUAAAAAACAACAAUGGGGCAGUAAUAGUGGGCAGGCAGCAAACAACAAUUGCUGCAAUGCUGGCUUGGUGGUUGAGUGAUUGAUGAGUCCCCAGGUGAAUCUCCAGUGUGCCCAGAGCAGAGGGAGGUGACCUGCUUGCAACACUUGUCUCGUGAUCCGUUUGUGAGACAAGCUCCCGAGGCAGGAACCCGAUCCGUGUGGGAGGACCCCCACCUGUGCAGCCCACUUAGGCAAGCGCAGGGGGAGAGUCCUGCCCACACAGAUCAGGUGGCAGGGCUGCAGCCAAACUUUGUGUGCAGGGACCUAAAUUUGUCCCUCUCGUGCUCCAAAAUCCUGGACUGGUUACGUAAAGUAACCCGAGUUCUCCAGUGAGGGAUACAAAAUUGUGAGCCCCUUGUUUUCCUGUGGCCAGACCAUGUGGUAUAGAUUUUGUGUUAGUUUGGGUUUAUUUUUGUGUUAUACCCUGAUCCUGUCUAGGGCAUGAAGUCCUGUCAACUGCCUGUUUCUCUGAAAGGAGCUUUUAUUUUUUAAGUUAGAGUAGCAAUGCCCAAAGUUCUUUUGCUUGUGACCCUAUUCACAGCUCAAUAAUUUUGUUUGACAUCUUCUAAAUAUAUGAAUAUUUGAUGAAACUAAACUUCUGUUCACUUUUCAACGUUUUUAUCAUUGCCUUGUCAAAGUCCUUGGUUUGUUUAACAUUUUUUCACACUCCUCUAAGGCAACAAACCCUAAACCUCCACCAACAAAAGCAUGUGAAAACAAAGUGCAGAUUUUUUCAGUCUAAAUUAAGCUUUUAAAAGUGUUUUCACUGAUGCAUAAAAAGAGACUCCUUAGGUAAGUAGUAAAAUUUUAAUCUGAAAUCAUAAUAAGGAGCUGAACCACUAGGUAAAAAUAAAUACUUACUAUGAGGAAACCAACCCUGGAAGGUUGCAUCAUCAUUUGUAAGUUCUCUUAAACCAUAAAGUGCUGGUAAUUAAAACAUGAGCAUGUGAAUUGAUGUGUCCUAUGGCAAAAGGAAUUCACAUCAAACAGAAAUGUCACUGAUAAAUUAUUGAGUCCUAGAGCAUGAGAAGCAGGUGUAACUUGAGGGUAAAUCUGUCAGUCCUCUGCUGGCAUAAAGGGUCAAGUCAGUCUUGGUUUGGUGAUUAAAUCUAAACACAGACCUGCCUACUGUAAUGCCUCCAUUUAAAUUAUUUCAUUUUAAAGGAUUUAAAUUUAAUGGGGAUAAUGGCAUUACAGAGGGUAAGUAUAUCUUAUUAUUUUAUGUAAAGCCAACUUUAUAAGCAAUUUGUGAACAAAGGGACAAUUAAACCCUAAUAAUACUUUGAUUCUGUGAAUCCAAGACCUGAGUGUUUUAUAUAAAUUAGAUUCUGAACUAACAAACAGGUAGAAGUAAUUUUAUUCAGGGAAAGUUUAUUCUGUGUGCAAACAACGUUAAAAUUCCCUCUUACAUUUAGAAGGAGAACAUUCAAAGCCUUAAUCACCUGGUUUGAUAGGAAAGCAGGAGAAUCAUCUGACAUUUGAUUUAUGCAACACCCAUUCACAGGAAACUCAUUAAAAUUUGAGGGGCACAUUGAGGUGCUGCUGAAACUUAUAUUUUCCCCCCUUGCACAACAUUCUGAGGACGAGAUGUGGUCAUUUAAGGCAGUGAGUUCUUUACUCCCCUUGAAAUGUAGGAAAUGUAAGCAUCACCCUUUCCACAGCUGCCAGAACAACACUGUCAGAUACGGGGAGGAUUUAGGGCUCUACAAAAGAUCUAAGAAUGCACAAAAGAGCGUGGGCUGGUAAAGGAAUGGUUUCUCAGGGAGGUGGGUUGACAGCUAUUGCAUUCUGCUGCUCUGUGAAACCACUUGAUUCAUUCUCCUUAACUGCAUCAGACCUUUAUUUCUUCUCACAAGCGACAAAGAGAAACCCUAAUUAGUAUUUUGGGGUCUUGAACUGUAUCACUGCAGCCUGUGCCAUCAGGGAAAGUCUCACUGAACUGACUGCUACUCCAAUACUUGGAACUGGAUAACUUCAAAGGCUUAAGUGACAAUUUGUGUUGAACUGGACAAAAUGAGCUCUCUGCUGUUAUUACAGGAUCUCAGAUGGUCCAUAAUUCCCUGGUGCAGGACCUGGCACCAGGAAGAGGACACAGGGAAGAAUCACAGUUCUUCCCUGAAGAAGCGUUGUUUGCACACUCAUUGUGUUCACCUUCCCACAUCAUUCUCCGAGUCUGAAUCUGCUGAUGAACUCCAGCCAAAGGUAUGUUCUAAAGACAUUAACUUGUGAUGAAUUUGGUGAAAAUCAGCAUCUGGACAAAGGAAGAUUCUCUUGACUGUGGUUUUUGUGGACGACACAGGUCUAUGUAAUCAUGGAUGGCAAAGAGGCCUCGUUAUUUCUCCCAUAGGAAAACUCAUGGCAUCAAAAAAAAAAUAAAAAUCACCAGAUAAAAAUUUUAUGACAAUCAAAGGGGAACAACUUUUCCCGCUGUGCAUGAAUCAGAAAUUGUGGCUGCAGAACACGAUGCCAGAACAUAAUGAGCUUAAAAAGCAGAUGAAUGAGGGGUUGGAAAACCAAUUUAGCACCAUUAAGCACAACGAAAUAGCCCGUGACUCAGGAUGUCUGCCUGUGAACUGAAGCAAAGGGAGAACAUGCAGGGGGGAAGUGAGAUUGUGUGCACAGCCAGUUCUUAAAUCUUUAGUUCUCAGUUUUAGUCUUGUCACAGGAAAAUGUUCUCGCACAUUUCCGCAGCAAAGGCCGAGGCCAGUCUGAAAGAAACUGAAAGCUGUCCUGGAGAAAAUAAACAUUUCCAGGGGCUGGAGAGAGAAAAAGGCACAGAGCCCAGGAGCCCAGAGAGAAAAUAGAAUAUCUAAGUGAAUAUUCAAGUUUUAAAAAAUCCCAGUGAGGCAGCCAAGAGGAAAUACUAAACAAAGCCACCCUGAUGGGACCUGCUGCUCCCUGAGAAGCUCCUGGAGAGCUGGUGGACGCCACCAUACCUUCUGUGCAGAGAGCCUGUCAAGCCUCCUGCUAAUACCAUUCCAGAAAGGCUGAUGGCUCCAUCUUUCCCGGGCGGAGGGAGCUGGAAUCUCCAAGGACAACCGCUUCCCCCGCUCUGUCUCUGGCCAUUGCCAGUGUCUCCUCUUGAUGAUGAAUAGACAAACCGGAGGACUGGGAACUGCAGGUGAAGCUGCAACAGACACACUGGCCACUGAAAAAACAAUAAAUAGGAUCAGCUACCCAAGCACUCGGGUAAAGUGUGUCACAAUCCUGCUCUGGCAAACACAGGCAGCUGUUUGGAACACCCCAGUCCACAACGAGCACUUUCUGUGUGAGUGACUGCAGGCUGCCAAGGGACUGUGCUUCCUUGAUUUUCCUAGAACAGCAGAAUCCCUGGGAUUGACCUUUGGGAGUUCACUGUCAUCACAUGCUCCUCUGCAGCUGGUUUCUGUUUGGUAAGACAGCGAGACGCAAAAAUCCAUCUCAGUGGCUCAAAAGGAAAAGGGAAAAAAAAAAAAAGUAAUGCCUCUUUCCCCAAAGUUGGCUGCAUUUCUGUCACGUCCAGGGAAUUAUUAUGUAUUUCAAAUGGCUGUGAGUAACUUGGAAGGAGCCUCUCAUAAUGAGGCUCAAGCCUCUUGCUUUUUCUCCCUGCAGGCACAAUAGUUUCCAGGGAUAUCUUUGGGACUUUCAGACAUGUGGAGGAAACAGACUGUCAAAGGCAGAUUCUCUUGUGUGGAUUUGAGACAAUUUUGCUUUCCAAAUCUUGGGCAGUAAGGCACCUAAAGAGAACCAAUCCAGGAAGUGGAGAGGGAAAACAAGCUUUGCUGUAAAUUCAUUUAUUUCACCAAGGAGGAUUUAGGUCCUGUUUUUGUACAAGCAGUGACUGUCCAUCGUAAGAACAGUAACCCACUAACUUCAGUUGGGAAAGAGUGGAGGCCAAACAGUAUCUUGUGAGUGGAUAUAACUGAGGGUGGAUGAACCACUGGGAAUGUAAAGUGCAGGAUAACAAUGUUGCACGUAUUUGGUCAGCCUUGUCUAUGCAGUAAAGUUUUACAAAUCGUGUAGGUGCCCAUAAUGACACUUUAACCCCUUCCUAAGUGCCUCUUAUUUCUGCUCAGCAGAGGCUGAACUGAGAAAUGUUCCACUUGUAUUGGAACAUGUAGAUUUAACCAGGCGUUACAGAAACAGCCCAGUGUUCAGCCUGUGUGCUGUAGGUGACACUGAACCCACCUCCCCAUCCAACUUGAAACAAGUCAUAGAGCAUUUUGGCAGCCUCAUUUUAGGGACCUAAAAUUAGUUCCUCUGAAUCACGCUUUAGAAGAGCCUAUUUCUGUCCCAUACUACACAGGAAGCCCAAGUUCCUUGGCAUCUCGUUCAGAUGCUGAAAUCAUUCUUGUCCUCAUCCUGCAAACAGACAAAUUCUCUGUAAAAUAGAACUUUAUGUAAUGGGCAUGUUUCUAAGUUGUCCCUUUGGCACCUUUCAGUGCCAGCUUCGGAUGACUGACCGAUUCAGGAACACUGGGAUGAGGGAAAGGGAUCCUCAUCAGAAAAGCAAAUUAUUCCUCUUUAUUUGUAUCAUGGGGAUUUGUGAGAUAUGAGGGGGUCACAGACCAGGACAGGUAGGAUACAGGUAACAUGAAGCUCCUGUUGGACUGGCUAUUCUUUCCCAAACUGUAACAUCACAGAAUGGCUUGGGUUGGAAGGUGUAGAGUAUUUGCAGGAAAAUGGACACUGUUUGAACAAUCCAUAUUUUUGAGAAGCACUAGGCCUGCUUCACAUAAAUUUGAAAGCUGCAAACUGUGUGAAAACUCGGUGUGUUUAUACUUACAAACUGUGAAACUAUGCAACGUUUAUACUUGUUAGCUGGGUGAAUACUGCAUGUUUAUAGUUAAGGUACGAGAAAAUCACUUGUUUCUAGUUGAAAGUUGUGGGAAAACUAGAGAUAAAGGGACACCUGCAAAACCCCGGGAAAAUCCCCAAAGGCGGACCCACAGGAGGGACUUUGGGUGGCAAAAAUGAUCUCAGGCCGCGUGGACAGAGCUUCAGAACCAAUAAACCGAAGGCGUGAGACGCGUGCACAGACCGAGCUACCCAAUCACCUUCUUGUAAGCACGUACCCGGAAGAAAACGAAACCGUAUAAAAGUUAACUCAUUUAAAUAAUAAAUUGGACAUCGCUUUGAUCGCAUUGAUCGUCUGCGCGUCGUUCCCGAACUCCUGCCGUCCAUAGGUGGCGUUCGAAGGGAGACAGGGACCCUUCAGAGUGCCCUGUUCCCCGAGGACAGUGUCGGCAACGGGAAGAGGGGGCAGGAAACCGGGAAAGAGCUCGAGCCACAGUCGACUUGGAAUCUCACCCUAAUCAGGUGAGCGGCUGGGGAGGAGACGGGGCCAGCACUGAGCAAGGAGGAAGAAGCGGUGCUUAAACUCCUCCAACAUAUUCUCUCCGAGAGAGGGUUAUCCUAUGAUGCAGGUAGCCUCAAAGGGCUGUUAAAUUGGGCCCGAGAUAAGCGGUGUAUCCCCACAGUAAAUGCUGCCUUCGAAGUCUCGGU